GAAUGCGCUCGAUCUCACCUGAUCUCAGAUUUUAUCUGAUCUUGGAAGAUAAGUAGGGUCGGGCCUGGUUAGUACUUAGAUGGGAGAAAUGGGAAUUCAAUUCCAGGCAUUCU
rnacentral:rRNA from 1 species